CUGUUCCAUUUUACUUUUUUAAUAUGGGUACUAGAAGUUUUAAAAUUACAUAUGUGGCUUACAUUUGUCAUUCACGUUGUGUUUGUAUUGCUCAGCACUGAUCUAGACCAUUUGCAUGCUAAUUCUCCUGUGUGACAUAUCUAUUUCUUAUUUCCUCAAAUCCAAAAACUAUCCUACUCAAUCAUGACCUUCUCCUUAAACUCUUUUUAGAUCUCUUCCUUUAAAGAGUGUGCUCUCUUCUCUAAAUUCUAAUGGCAUCUUUCAUCUGACCUCACAAUCUCUUCUAAUGCCUCUACUUGGAUGUAAGUUACUAGCAAGUAAGGUCUAUGUAUAGUUUUACGUAUGUUUGUCACCUGCAAAACAACCACCAUGGAGCUUUUGGAAAAUAUCAGUAAAAUGUUAUUAGACAAGUACCACUGCUUGCUGCCAUUCCUGGUUGCUUGAUGGCAGUAGGGUGUCUUGGCUAAGUGCUCCGCUUCUCUAAUUGCUGUGGGCCAGAAUACGUUUGGUCAGAAGCAGAAGUUGACCACAUGAUGGAAAAUACAAUUAUUAGCUCUUCUCCCUCAUAGGAAGAAGCUACGUCGCUUUCUGCAAGUCUCUUAACUCUUAAGGAACCUACACUCCCAUCUCCUACAUGAGCGGCAAUUGCUAGAAGAUGUCUCAGGUCACUUCAAGCCCUAAGUUGCUACAUUAACCCUGCACUGCUGUGGUCUCUAGACAACAAGAUAUUUGAAAAAGGACGGAAAUUGAAAUACUAUCUUUCCAUGGGAGCUGACAUUUAUUACUACGUUGACAUUUAUUACUAUUACUCAUUUAAUUUUACAGAAGUCCUAUAACUAGACAGUUAUUAAGAAAAGCAGAGGUCAAAUGACUUGUCCAAGACCACGCAGCCCAUAAAGAGCCUGCCUGUGUCCAAUAUACGUGCUUUCUCUAUAAUAUUUUCUUCCAAAGAAUACCUAAGCCUACAUGUAAUGCAGAAUAAAAUAUACCAUCUCACUCUA
rnacentral:lncRNA from 1 species